GUAGGAAGUGACUGUAGGUUUAGAUGAAUGGAAAAUGAACUUGCCAGUUCACAGCUAUGUCCUUCCCAAUUUAGGAGGUUAAGGGCAGGAAAAACAUGAGAAACUCUUUUGAGAAGCUGCACAAGCUGACAUGGAGGAUCAAGGAUUUCAAAAGCUUUGAAUAUAAAGAGGUGUCAGACUUACAUCAGAGCCUGAGACUUGACAUGCCUAUUUUUGCACUCGCUCAUUUUUCAAAUUUCAUAGGCAUUGCUCCCUCCAAAUCACCGCUCUUCUAAUUUUAUCCUGGAGUGUGCAUCCCAGAAGACAUAAGCUGACACAAUUGGGAACUGAAGUUGCUUGAAAAAGCUGGUGGUAAGAUUAGACUCUAGACAGCUUAUACGUAUUUGGACAAGGCAACGUGAUGAAGAAAUAAUAUAAUUGUAGGAUCACCUCUGUCCAGUAGCUGUUAUCCAACAUCUGCAUACUUAGAUUUCUGGAGAGAUAUCCAUGAAUGACCAUGAAAGUACAGCAAGUGAUUUUCAAGCUGCAAACAAAUUUUAGCAAGCAAAUGGAAGAAGAAAGAGGAGAGUGGUGGUGUGUGCUUUCCCUUUAAUGGCAGAACCCAACAGUCGUACACACCACUUCUACCCUCUUAAGAUGGGUCAGAAUCCAGGCCCAAUUCCAUGUAUACAUGGAAGAGAGGCUUAUUAAAGUAGCCUUCAGUUGCUGGACAGAGUUCCAUCCAAAACUACAGUUAAUAGAAUUAGAAAAAACUACUUUAAAUUUCAUAUGGAACCAAAAAAGAGCCUGCAUAGCCAAGACAAUCCUCAGCAAAAAGAACAAAGCUGGAGGCAGCAUGCUACCUGACUUCAAACUACACUACAAAGCUACAGUAACCAAAACAGCUUGGUGCUGGUACCAAAACAGAUACAUAGACCAAGGGAACAGAACAGAGGCCUAAGAAAUAACACCACACAUCUACAACCAUUGAAACUUUGACUAACCAGACAAAAACAAGCCAUGGGGAAAGGAUUCCCUAUUUAAUACAUGCUGAUGGAAAAACUAGCUAGCCGUCUGCAGAAAACUGAAACUGGACCUUAUACAAAAAUUAACUUACAUCUUAUACAAAAAUUAACUCAAGAUAGAUCAAAGAUUUAAGUGUAAGACCUAAAACCAAAAAACCCUAGAAGAAAA
rnacentral:lncRNA from 1 species